CCUCUGCACAGUCUACAACCUCUACUCCUCUACUGCCAAGCUAUGAGCAGGAUGUGAUCCGAUGGCACUGUUCUCAACAGCAAAGAAUCUGGAUGAAAACAGAAAUGGAAGCCUUGGGACUGUGGCCAGAUUCUAGACCGAGCACACCAUUAUGGAAAGAGUCCGCAACAACUACACUCUGCCAUGUCUAUAUGGCUGUCCGAAUCCCCACAUGGUCUCAUCAGGAGUUGGACGACCCCGUGUCAUUAUUGGUACAAGCAACCAGUACUACAUACCGGCCUCUCGGCUCAGCUGUAAAAUCUGUAAAAAGUACUGGUUUGCAGACAAACCCCAAUGGAUGGACAUGCUGCUGAGUCG
ensembl:lncRNA